UGAAUACUCGCUCCGUCCCGAAUUAUUUGUCUAGAUACGGAUGUAUCUAGACGCGUUUUAGUGUUAGAUAUAUCCAUAUCUAGACAAAUCAAAGACAAGUAAUUUGGGACGAAGGUAAUAUAAG
rnacentral:pre_miRNA from 1 species